AUAUAAAUCACCGGGGGAUCUUGUUAAAAAGUGGAUUCUGCUUUAAGAGAUCUAGUGGUAUCUGAGAUUCUGCAUUUCUAAUAUGUUCUCAGGUGAUGUCCGU
rnacentral:pre_miRNA from 1 species